UAACCUUUCGUUUUUCUUUUCCGCGUGAAGCGUCUAUUCCCCAGCCGGCGAUUCCUCUCCUCUAUUCCUCCAUCCCGUUUUUUCUCCCCUCGUCAGAUCUGAGACGAUCGUGGCGGACGGCGGCCAUGCCCGCGUGCAGCGGCUUUCGGCGAAGGCCGCGCGGCGGGGCAGCGAGCGUCGCUCAGAAGAGGCACGCUCCCGCUCGCGACGACUCCAGGCGGGGAGGUCCUCACGGUGGGGCACGCGGCGUGCGGAGGCAGCACAGCUCAGCUGCGAUAGGGGAUAUGGGUCAACGGCAGCCUACCCGUGGCGAAACGGCAGCAGCCUAGAUCCGGUAGAGGGGAGUGGCAGCACCAGCAAGGGCACACAGCCCCGGUGAAGCGUGGGGUCCGGCGAGGGAUCGGCGUGUUCCCGGCGAGUGCUUUGCCCGGCAAAAUUUAUACCUGCGCGGAGAGGGAAGCUUCAGCAGACGUCUGGUUUGUUUUGGGCAAGAAUGAAAUGACAGGCUACGUGGGUAACAGAACCACCUUGCUCCCGUGUUUCAGAUCUUUACUAUUUUUUAUCAGAUGUCAACAUUAGUUUUGUAUUAAAUAAAAGAAGGGCACAGUUAUAUAGGACAACUUAUAUAUAUAGACAUUUUUGUUAACACUCAUGCUCUAUAAGUAUUUUUCAUGAGUAAAUUUUUUUAAAAUGA